CACGCUGGCAAUUAUAUGCGGAUCGACAGACAUUAAACACCUUUGAGAACAUUAUGGAGAACUCUCAGGUAUGCAGGUUUCCUCGCGAUAUUUCCCUUCACCGUUAAAGCGAAUGAUGUUUAAUUUCUCAAAACGCAUAUGAAAAUUUCGAAAACAAACAGGCGUG